GAUGAAGAACGUAGCGAAAUGCGAUAAGUAAUGUGAAUUGCAGAAUUCAGUGAAUCAUCGAAUCUUUGAACGCACCUUGCGCUCCUUGGCAUUCCGAGGAGCAUGCCUGUUUGAGUGUCAUUAAAUUCUCAAGACCUGUCUGCUUUUUUGAUAGGUAUUGGAUUUUGGGGGUUGCAGGCUGUUUCAAAUAAAUAGCCUUGCUCUCCUUGAAUGUAUUAGUGGAGAAAAGCCAUUGAACUCCAUUGGUGUGAUAAAACCUAUCAAUGCCAGGAGCAAUAUCACUACUUCUCUCUGCUGUCUAACUGUGACUGUCUGUAUUAAUUAGAAUGGAUGGGGACAACUUGACCAACUUGACCUCAAAUCAGGUAGGACUACCCGCUGAACUUAAGCAUAUCAAUAAGCGGAGGA
rnacentral:misc_RNA from 1 species